rnacentral:rRNA from 1 species
UACGGGGGGGCAAGCGUUGUUCGGAAUUACUGGGCGUAAAGGGCGCGUAGGCGGCUCUUCAAGUCAGCCGUGAAAUCUCCAGGCUUAACCUGGAAGGGUCGGUUGAUACUGUUGAGCUAGAGUGUAGAAGAGGCAACUGGAAUUCCGUGUGUAGCGGUGAAAUGCGUAGAUAUACGGAGGAACACCUGCGGCGAAGGCGGGUUGCUGGGCUAACACUGACGCUGAGGCGCGAAAGCUAGGGUAGCAAACGGG